GCCCCUCUAGGUGGAUUGGAAAUUGGAAUGAUACAGAGAAGAUUAGCAAGGUCCCUGUGCAAGGGUGACACUCAAAUUUGUGAAGUGUUCCAUAUUUCA
ensembl:snRNA U6 U6 spliceosomal RNA